UAGCGAAGCUCUUGAUCGAAGCCCGAGUAAACGGCGGCCGUAACUAUAACGGUCCUAAGGUAGCGAAAUUCCUUGUCGGUUAAAUACCGACCUGCAUGAAUGGCGUAACGAGAUGGGAGCUGUCUCAAAGAGGGAUCCAGUGAAAUUGUAGUGGAGGUGAAAAUUCCUCCUACCCGCGGCAAGACGGAAAGACCCCGUGGACCUUUACUACAGCUUGACACUGCUACUUGGAUAAGAAUGUGCAGGAUAGGUGGGAGGCUUUGAGUAUAUGACGCCAGUUGUAUACGAGCCAUUGUUGAGAUACCACUCUUUCUUAUUUGGGUAGCUAACCAGCUUGAGUUAUCCUCAAGUGGGACAAUGUCUGGUGGGUAGUUUGACUGGGGCGGUCGCCUCCCAAAUAAUAACGGAGGCUUACAAAGGUUGGCUCAGAACGGUUGGAAAUCG
rnacentral:rRNA from 1 species